rnacentral:lncRNA from 1 species
UAUUAAUCUUUGAUAAGUUUUACUUUUGGUUCUCAAACUAUAAGGCACGUGAUACUUUGGUCUUCAAAUUUUAAUUUAUUGUAAUUUUUGGCACUAACUUUUGAAUCGUUGCAAGUAAAUUUCACAACCCAAUUUAAUUGGCUUAGUAUUGAAAAAUUAUUAGUAUAGAAGUAAUGUAAAAGUAUUAUGAUUGAUGAUGCGGCAAUAAUUAAAAAUGUUAUAUCACUUUUAUAUUAAUGAUUUAUCAUAUUUAGUUAGCUAAAUUAGGUUAUGAAAUUUAAUAGCAAUAAUUCAAAAGUU